rnacentral:rRNA from 1 species
GAUGAACGCUGGCGGCGUGCUUAACACAUGCAAGUCGAACGGGAAUUACUUUAUUGAAACUUCGGUCGAUUUAAUUUAAUUCUAGUGGCGGACGGGUGAGUAACGCGUGGGUAACCUGCCUUAUACAGGGGGAUAACAGUCAGAAAUGGCUGCUAAUACCGCAUAAGCGCACAGAGCUGCAUGGCUCAGUGUGAAAAACUCCGGUGGUAUAAGAUGGACCCGCGUUGGAUUAGCUAGUUGGUGGGGUAACGGCCCACCAAGGCGACGAUGCAUAGCCGGCCUGAGAGGGUGAACGGCCACAUUGGGACUGAGACACGGCCCAGACUCCUACGGGAGGCAGCAGUGGGGAAUAUUGCACAAUGGGGGAAACCCUGAUGCAGCGACGCCGCGUGAAGGAAGAAGUAUCUCGGUAUGUAAACUUCUAUCAGCAGGGAAGAUAGUGACGGUACCUGACUAAGAAGCCCCGGCUAACUACGUGCCAGCAGCCGCCGUAA